GACGGGGAGCACCACAACGGGUGGAGCUUGCGGUUUAAUUGGAUUCAACGCCGGAAAUCUUACCGGGACCGACAGCAAUAUGAAGGCCAGGCUGAAGACUUUGCCGGAUUAGCUGAGAGGUGGUGCAUGGCCGUCGUCAGUUCGUACUGUGAAGCAUCCUGUUAAGUCAGGCAACGAGCGAGACCCACGCCCACAGUUGCCAGCGUACUCUCUGGAGUGACGGGUACACUGUGGGGACCGCCGCUGCUAAAGCGGAGGAAGGAAUGGGCAACGGUAGGUCAGUAUGCCCCGAAUAUCCCGGGCUACACGCGAGCUACAAUGGUUGGUACAAUGGGUAUCUACCCCGAAAGGGGACGGGAAUCUCCUAAAACCAAUCUUAGUUCGGAUUGAGGGCUGCAACUCGCCCUCAUGAAGCUGGAAUCCGUAGUAAUCGCGUUUCAACAGAACGCGGUGAAUACGUCCCUGCUCCUU
rnacentral:rRNA from 1 species